UACAGGGGGUGCAAACGUUGCUCGGAAUUAUUGGGCGUAAAGCGCGCGUAGGCGGCUAUUUAAGUCGGAUGUGAAAGCCCCUGGCUCAACUGGGGAAGUGCACCCGAAACUGAAUGGCUUGAGUGCAAAAAAGGGCCGCGGAAUUCCCGGUGUAGAGGUGAAAUUCGUAGAUAUCGAGAGGAACACCGGUGGCGAAGGCGGCCAACUGGACAGAUACUGACGCUGAGACACGAAAGCGUGGGGAGCAAACAGG
rnacentral:rRNA from 1 species